rnacentral:sRNA from 1 species
GCUGGGUGCAGGGGUGCACACCUGUAAUCCCCAGCAACUUGGGAGCCUGAGACAGGAGGAUGGCAAGUUUGAGGCCAGCCUCUGAAACUUGGCAAGACCCUCCAUAAAUGGGACCCUGUCUCAA